ACGGGGGUGGCCAGUGGAGUCUCUGGCGUCGCGGUGCGCGAGAGCUUGCGGAGCUUUUCAUUCCGGUGCCGUAGUUCGUCUCGCAAGCUUCGAGGCGCCGUUCGGGCUCGCUUGUGCCGCUCCUUUUCUUGGUCCUCCCUCCUCUCUCUCUCUCUAUCUCUCUCUCACAUACUCAUUCACUCACUCACUCACUCAUUCGCUCACUCGCUCACUCACUCGUUCACUCACUCACUCACUCACUCACUCACUCACUCACUCACUUACUCACUUACUCACUCAUUCACUCGCUCACUCACUCACUCACUCACUCACUCACUCACUCACUGACUAACUCUCUCGUUCUCACUCUCGUUGUCUUCGUCUGUCUAUUCACUCGCUGCUCGUUCAUUCAUUCCAUAUACGCUGUUGUAUAUCUCACACGUAUACGCGGAUACUCCGUUUGUUCUAUGCCUAUCUCAUAGGUAUCUUCUUUUUCCAUCUGACGUUCAUCGCGUAUUUCCGUGCGUGAUAUUCGUGCGUGCAAAGAUAUUAGUGCUCUCCUGUGUGUUCUAGCUCGUGUCGUCACGUCUCCGUCACUUUUCUAGAUCGACGAACUCUAUACCGAACUUGUCGAUUUAUGAACGAGGAUUUCUUUCGGAACAUUACGAGAAGACUUGAGAGAUGCCUGUUUUAUGGAUUUUGCAUACAAACGAGAACGGUGAACGUGUAUCAUGAUGAUUAUUAUCUCAUCGUUGGAUGUGUAAAGAUCGAUCUGUGAAUGUUCGCGAGUGUUGUUCCAAUCUCGUUCAGUGCCAUCGUCGUCUUUGUCGUUGUUGGUGGUUGUGGUACUAGUGAUACUGGUGCUUGUGAUACCGGUCAUAGUGAUGAUGCGAGUUACAGGACGAGACGCGUGAUUUUCAAAUCUCAUGAGUUUAAAAUUAAGAGGACAUCGUUAGCGGAUCUUCGUGAUUAACUAUCAGAAUCAAUUUCCGUAUAGAAAAAUAUCAUGAGAAUGGCAUUGGAAAAUCUUUCUGAACUAAAGUAUUUCGACCCGUCGACCGAGAUGUCCACGAACUGGAAAAUCAUCGAUUCCUUUCAAUGUGGCUCAAUGUGGUUCGAUCGAAGGGGCGGCCUCCGAGCGAUGCAUUAUGGUAAGAGAAAAGUUUAAAUAUAAGUUAAUGACCAACGCAUCAUCUCUUUCCUUGCGGUUAUGCAAGACAUCGCAUACGGAAUAUUAUUGGAAUACGUGGGAGAUUCUUUUGUCAAAAAAUAAUGGAAAAAGGAAAAAUGUAGUUCACCGAUUCUAUCGGAUAAAAGAAUUUAUUUAUAUACUAUGUUUCGUAAAAGGAAGUUGCAUUCAAACGAAAAUGAUUUUGUGAAUUUCAUUAUUGAUCUUAUUAAUCUCUUGCAUCGAUUGUCAUCUUUAUAAUCAUAAAAAUAUCAAGAAUAACGCGUUAAAAGCUUGAUGUUUCUCAGAUAUUAUAAUUAAAACUGACUUUAAACGAACGUACUAAUCUAAAUGGUGAAGUUGCAAGAAUCGUCAGUUUGUGCUAUGCCAAACUAACAAGUAUAUCUUGAUCUAACACCGUAUAAUACCUAGUUAAGAGAUAAUUGCAGUUUACAGACAA